AUUUUUUUUCAGUCCUUUCUUUCCAAAGAGUUUAGCAAUUAAAUGGACAGUAAGACUCAGCAGUUAUACAUAAAAAGCUGUUUAUCUAAGGGUAUCACAGUGCUUGACAAAGGUGGGCAAUUCUCACAGUGCCCUUUUUUUGCUGGGUGAGAUGCUGGCAUGCAGAGACAGCGAGCAGUUUAUCUGAGUAACAGAGUCGGUAGCAGAGGUAGUAAUUAAAACUUUGGUCUCAUGACACCCAACUCUGUACUGUAACCACUAGACAAACUGCCUCCCGGAGCCGUAUCUCAUCUCUAUCUCCCUACAUAUGCACAAUAAAGCCUUUGUAGUAUAUGCUGUACACUUGCUAUUGAUAGUUGUAUCAGCUGAAAGAUAAUGCUCGCUCUUCUAGCUGGCUGCAAGUGUGCUCCACACAGCCUCAAUUAUCUGAACAUAAUGGUGGAGAAGGGGAGAAUUUUGGAUAACUGAGGGCUUCAAAUAACUGAAGGAGUUUUCAGUGCAAUUAAUAACAUGGUAGGAACACAGAAGGUUUUGGAGAGCAGGUUCAGAUACCUGGUGUCACACUGUGCAGUCAGUCAAUAACAAGCAUACUGCUCUUUCAGGGUUUUGCUUUUUUUCUGAACAUAGUUGUGACUUUUCCUUGCUUUUUUUCAGACAAAAAAAAAAAAAAGAAGAUUAAUGUAUUUUAGAUGUGUUGGUAUCCCUUUAAGUUUAAUGAAGACUAACAGCCAUCAUUUUGGUCAAUGGGAAGCUGCUUAUGGACACAGCUCUGUCCUCUGCCUCACACCAGAUGCAGGAAUUGAGAACAGCCUUUACCCAUGCAGCGGUUAUGAACUAACAGGCUGGUGCAGAUUUUCAAAACCAGUGGAAGUGAGGACAGGACUAAGAGGAACACUUGUGCUCCUUGAAGUGCUUCCAGCUGGUCUAAUAAAAGGGAAAACCUCACCCUGUGGAUUUUGCUUUGCUGCUGAAUGCGAGGAUGAAAUACGUCAAGUGAAUAAUACUUAUUUUCCAAAGCUGGCUCUGACUCAAACCUGCUGGUUCAAGGGCUUCAGAGACAGAGCCCAGGAGGGGCCCUGGACACUGAGGUCCUGCCUGCUGGCUCCUGCUCACGUCACCGAGGCACAUCCUCCCACAUCAGUCCCAUCAGCUGUGCCAGUGUCACCGGCAGCAGAGCUGCACAGCAGUGCCUGAGCUGAGCCACCUAAUUGAAAGGCCUUUUCAUGGAGUGCAGUGACCUGCCCUGGAGGGCUCUCCCUGGCCUGUGGUUUCAUGCUCUGCAGUCUCAUCCAAGACAACUGCAUUUGGGAUUUCUCUUCCAGCCUAUUUCCUACCGAGUAAUUUGGAGUAGGUACAUUUCUGUAGUGCAGGACUGGGGAGUACUAAAAACCAUGCAUGGGAAGGUGUCCUGUGCAAAGAGUGCCCUUACACAAGAACAUGUAUGAAUAAUAGGAAAUGGUUUGGGUGUGGGAUGCAGUUGGGAUUCAUUGUCACUGCAAGGAGCAGAGACCAUUGCCUUGGCUUGGUGGUGCAGGUCCAGGCUCUAUCUCAGGACUCUACUCUUGCCACUGUCCCUUUGGCAUGGGCACACCUCUGCUGUCCCCUGCAGCAAAGGGGUCAGCACCAGGGUGAAUUGCAACCUGGGGAAAAGCUUGUCAACACUGCUUGGUGGUUUGAGGCCAGCAGGAAGAGAGCAGAGCAGCAGG
rnacentral:lncRNA from 1 species